rnacentral:rRNA from 1 species
CCUACGGGAGGCAGCAGUGGGGAAUAUUGGACAAUGGGCGAAAGCCUGAUCCAGCAAUGCCGCGUGAGUGAUGAAGGCCUUAGGGUCGUAAAGCUCUUUUACCCGGGAUGAUAAUGACAGUACCGGGAGAAUAAGCCCCGGCUAACUCCGUGCCAGCAGCCGCGGUAAUACGGAGGGGGCUAGCGUUGUUCGGAAUUACUGGGCGUAAAGCGUGCGUAGGCGGUUAUUCAAGUCAGAGGUGAAAGCCCGGGGCUCAACCCCGGAACGGCCUUUGAAACUAGGUAGCUAGAGUCUUGGAGAGGUCAGUGGAAUUCCGAGUGUAGAGGUGAAAUUCGUAGAUAUUCGGAAGAACACCAGUGGCGAAGGCGACUGACUGGACAAGUAUUGACGCUGAGGCACGAAAGCGUGGGGAGCAAACAGGAUUAGAUACCCUGGUAGUCCACGCCGUAAACGAUGAUAACUAGCUGUUCGGGUACUUGGUAUCUGAGUGGCGCAGCUAACGCAUUAAGUUAUCCGCCUGGGGAGUACGGUCGCAAGAUUAAAACUCAAAUGAAUUGACGG